rnacentral:rRNA from 1 species
UACGGAGGGUGCAAGCGUUAUCCGGAUUCACUGGGUUUAAAGGGUGCGUAGGUGGGCUAGUAAGUCCGUGGUGAAAUCUCUGAGCUUAACUCGGAAACUGCCGUGGAUACUAUUAGUCUUGAAUCUCGUGGAGGUAAGCGGAAUAUGUCAUGUAGCGGUGAAAUGCUUAGAUAUCAGGAGGAACACCGAUGGCGAAGGCAGCUCGCUGGGACGGUACUGACGCUGAGGCGCGAAAGCGUGGGGAGCAAACAGG